rnacentral:rRNA from 1 species
UACGUAGGCAGCAAGCGUUGUUCGGAGUUACUGGGCGUAAAGGGUGCGUAGGCGGUUGUUUAAGUUUGGUGUGAAAUCUCCCGGCUCAACUGGGAGGGUGCGCCGAAUACUGAAUGACUAGAGUGCGGGAGAGGAGAUUGGAAUUUACGGUGUAGCAGUGAAAUGCGUAGAUAUCGUAAGGAAGACCAGUGGCGAAGGCGAAUCUCUGGACAGUUACUGACACUGAGGCACGAAGGCCAGGGGAGCAAACGGG